rnacentral:rRNA from 1 species
GAUGAACGCUGACAGAAUGCUUAACACAUGCAAGUCUUUGGCGAAGCUGUGCUUGCACAGCCUAGCCAAGGCGGACGGGUGAGUAACGCGUAAGGAACUUGCCCUGCAGUCAGGGAUAACAGACGGAAACGACUGAUAAGACCUGGUAAAGUCAGGCGGACUCAUGUCCAGCCUGAUGAAAAGUGAUGCUGCAGGAGAGCCUUGCGUCCUAUUAGCUUGUUGGUGGGGUAACGGCCCACCAAGGCGAUGAUAGGUAGCCGGCCUGAGAGGGUGGACGGCCACAAGGGGACUGAGAUACGGCCCUUACUCCUACGGGAGGCAGCAGUGGGGAAUAUUGGACAAUGGGGGCAACCCUGAUCCAGCAAUUCUGUGUGCACGAUGAAGGUUUUCGGAUUGUAAAGUGCUUUGAGCAGGGAAGAAAAAAAUGACGGUACCUGCAGAAGAAGCGACGGCUAAAUACGUG